rnacentral:rRNA from 1 species
GACGAACGCUGGCGGCGUGCUUAACACAUGCAAGUCGAACGGAAAGGCCCUGCUUUUGUGGGGUGCUCGAGUGGCGAACGGGUGAGUAACACGUGAGUAACCUGCCCUUGACUUUGGGAUAACUUCAGGAAACUGGGGCUAAUACCGGAUAGGAGCUCCUGCUGCAUGGUGGGGGUUGGAAAGUCUCGGCGGUUGGGGAUGGACUCGCGGCUUAUCAGCUUGUUGGUGGGGUAGUGGCUUACCAAGGCUUUGACGGGUAGCCGGCCUGAGAGGGUGACCGGCCACAUUGGGACUGAGAUACGACCCAGACUCCUACGGGAGGCAGCAGUGGGGAAUAUUGCACAAUGGGCGGAAGCCUGAUGCAGCAACGCCGCGUGCGGGAUGACGGCCUUCGGGUUGUAAACCGCUUUCGCCUGUGACGAAGCGUGAGUGACGGUAAUGGGUAAAGAAGCACCGGCUAACUACGUG